rnacentral:rRNA from 1 species
UACAGAGGGUGCGAGCGUUGUCCGGAAUCACUGGGCGUAAAGGGCGCGUAGGUGGUGGCUUAAGCGUGCGGUGAAAGCUCGGGGCUCAACCCCGAGUCGGCCGUGCGAACUGGGCUCACUGGAGCAUAGUAGAGGCAGGUGGAAUUCCGGGUGUAGCGGUGGAAUGCGUAGAGAUCCGGAAGAACACCGGUGGCGAGGCGGCCUGCUGGGCUAUGGCGUGACACUGAGGCGCGGAAAGCGUGGGGAGCAAACAGG